UGGGGAAUAUUGCACAAUGGGCGCAAGCCUGAUGCAGCCAUGCCGCGUGUAUGAAGAAGGCCUUCGGGUUGUAAAGUACUUUCAGCGAGGAGGAAGGCGUUGUGGUUAAUAACCGCAACGAUUGACGUUACUCGCAGAAGAAGCACCGGCUAACUCCGUGCCAGCAGCCGCGGUAAUACGGAGGGUGCAAGCGUUAAUCGGAAUUACUGGGCGUAAAGCGCACGCAGGCGGUCUGUCAAGUCGGAUGUGAAAUCCCCGGGCUCAACCGGGGAACUGCAUCCGAAACUGGCAGGCUUGAGUCUUGUAGAGGGGGGUAGAAUUCCAGGUGUAGCGGUGAAAUGCGUAGAGAUCUGGAGGAAUACCGGUGGCGAAGGCGGCCCCCUGGACAAAGACUGACGCUCAGGUGCGAAAGCGUGGGGAGCAAACA
rnacentral:rRNA from 1 species